AGAGAGAGACAUGCGCGCAUAUCAAUAAGCGGAGGAAAAGAAACUAACAUAGGAUUCCCUCAGUAACGGCGAGUGAAGCGGGAAGAGCUCAAAUUUGAAAUCUUCAAGGUUCUACCUUGACGAAUUGUAGUUUAAAGAAGUGUUUUCUGUUGAAGUUUUGGUAAAAGUUCUUUGGAAUAGGACAUCAUAGAGGGUGAGAAUCCCGUAUUUGACCAUUAUUUCCAGCUUUGUGAUACACUUUCAAAGAGUCGGAUUGUUUGGGAACUGCAGUCCAAAAUGGGUGGUAAAUUUCAUCUAAAGCUAAAUAUUGGCGAGAGACCGAUAGCGAACAAGUACCGUGAGGGAAAGAUGAAAAGAACUUUGAAAAGAGAGUUGAACAGUACGUGAAAUUGUCAAAAGGGAAGCGUUUGACACCAGUGUUGUUUUCUCGAAAAUCAAUUAAGAAAUGUGCUCGAUUUUGUAUUGUUGAGACCUUAAAAGCUCACUGUACAUUUUUCGUGUCUUUUUUAAUGCACUUUUCGUUUAACAAGUCAACAUCAGUUCCUUUUGUUGUAAAAGGGUCAUUGGAAGGUGGCUUUCUUUUCGGAGAAAGUGUUUAUAGCCUUUGGCCUCUGCAAUCGGAGAGACUGAGGUCUGCAGCGUAGACUCUUCGGGGUUAGAUACAUUUGUGCUAAGUUAUAGCUUUUUAUAGACAACUUGUUGACUAUAAUUAGUCUUGUAGCUUACUCGCUUAUGCUAUUUUACCUACGCUUAGGAUGUUGAGUCGUAGAGCACGCAG
rnacentral:rRNA from 1 species